CUGUUUGCUGUCGGAGCAUCAUCAAGAUUCACAAAUCAUCAAGUAUUUAUACAUUCGUGAGCAUGUGUAUGAACAAGACUAUUGAUGUAUGUAUGAGAAUCUUGAUGAUGCUGCAGCUGCGAUCAG
rfam:Capsella rubella cultivar Monte Gargano unplaced genomic scaffold scaffold_3, whole genome shotgun sequence.